CGCUGSUGCGGCRGCUUAMACAUGCAAGUCGRCGCCCCGCAGGGGAGCGGCAGACGGGUGAGUAACGCGUGGGAACGUACCAUUUGCUACGGAAUAACUCAGGGAAACUUGUGCUAAUACCGUAUGUGCCCUUCGGGGGAAAGAUUUAUCGGCAAAUGAUCGGCCCGCGUUGGAUUAGCUAGUUGGUGGGGUAAAGGCUCACCAAGGCGACGAUCCAUAGCUGGUCUGAGAGGAUGAUCAGCCACACUGGGACUGAGACACGGCCCAGACUCCUACGGGAGGCAGCAGUGGGGAAUAUUGGACAAUGGGCGCAAGCCUGAUCCAGCCAUGCCGCGUGAGUGAUGAAGGCCCUAGGGUUGUAAAGCUCUUUCACCGGUGAAGAUAAUGACGGUAACCGGAGAAGAAGCCCCGGCUAACUUCGUGCCAGCAGCCGCGGUAAAUA
rnacentral:rRNA from 1 species